UACAGAGGGGGCAAGCGUUAAUCGGAAUUACUGGGCGUAAAGCGCACGUAGGCGGUUUUUUAAGUCAGAUGUGAAAGCCCCGGGCUCAACCUGGGAAUUGCAUUUGAAACUGGGAAACUAGAGUGUGUGAGAGGGGGGUAGAAUUCCAAGUGUAGCGGUGAAAUGCGUAGAGAUUUGGAGGAAUACCAGUGGCGAAGGCGGCCCCCUGGCACAACACUGACGCUCAGGUGCGAAAGCGUGGGGAGCAAACAGG
rnacentral:rRNA from 1 species